rnacentral:rRNA from 1 species
CUUUACUGUAACUUGAAAUUGAAAUUGGACUUUAUUUGCGCAGUAUAGGUGGAAGGCGUUGAAAGUAAUCUUGCGGGAUUAGUGGAGCCAUCAGUGAGAUACCACUCCUAUAAUGUUAGAUUUCUAACUUUGGAUCAUGAUCUGGUCAAAGAACAGUUUCAGGCGGGCAGUUUGACUGGGGCGGUCGCCUCCCAAAUGGUAACGGAGGCGUACAAAGGUUUCCUCUGAACGGGUAGAAAUCGUAUCUAGAGUGUAAAGGCAUAAGGAAGCUUGACUGUGAGACCUACAAGUCGAGCAGGGACGAGAGUCGGUCUUAGUGAUCUGACGGUGCUGAGUGGAAAGGCCGUCACUCAACGGAUAAAAGUUA